GCUGGACACUGGAGCCGCUCGCAUCACUGGACAACCUCUGGAACCAACUGUUGUCGAAUAUUGCCUGACCUUGGCAGCCUGAAGCCAUCUGAGCAUCAGUCUUCUCGGAGUGUUUACACUUUUCCUCGAGCGAAUUGCCAUUCACCCAACUAAAUCAUCCAACCCAUCAACUAAUCAACCAUGAAGACCACCAUCCCCACCAUCACCAUUUAUCUAUACCUCGCCGUCAUCACCUUCGUCGGGUCAAUCCUUGGGGUCGCCUCCUCGCCUCUCCCUCGUGAUCAGCAGGAGGAUGAACGUCAACUGUUGCCCGCCCUACCAUCCUUGAACGUAAACUUCCUUGGUAUAAGUAACCCAGGAAACAGCCCUGUCAUUAUCCCUCAAGAUCUAUCAACUUUCGUUACUCCGUUCGUCGUUAGUGGUUGUGAAACAGGGAGUAGCUGUGUCAUAGCUGUCAGGUUUAUCCCUCCACCAUUAUUCUAACGUGUUCACUACCUGGUAUAACAUAUGGUGAGAUUUAUCUGUAGAGUUUGGUGAUCUCUAUACAGCUGGUGACCUUUAGUUAAUUGGAUGAUUCGGAACAGCUGGUGACCUCCGUAGAACUUGGUGACUUAUAAUGAACUUAGUUAGGAAUGAACAGAGCCAUGAACAGAGCUAAGCGACUAGAGUAAAACUAUUAGACAUUACUGUAUCAUUACUGUGAGUUUUGUCCUUAGAAUUUUGGGCAGUUCGUGAUGUGAAGACGGCGAUGUGUAAUAUUGGCUACAUUGUUUUUUGUUUGUUUUUCAGCACCAGGAGUAUAGUGUUCAGUGUGCUAUAUCCGCACUGCCUCGGUAUCCACUCUCGGUUUAUAUAAGACAGUGUACAGGGGUAUGAUAAGCGUAUUAGAGUUAAUACAUAUAUUUGGAGUUUUGUUUACGUAGAUUUAUGCUCAAAACGAAAAGUAAAUAAAAGGUAAUAAAUUAUACAGUGUAGGAAAUUUUUAAUUUAAAUAUAUUGAGAUUUCCUUCAAUAAUAGAAGAUUACCAUACAACUUUAUCCUGGUGACCAAAGACCAUAAUUGUUUCAUCUGCUAUUAUUUUUUUAACACUUGCAUCUAAAAUUAGUGACAGAAUAAUAAAGAUCUAAAACUGGUUCAAAAACUUCAACGGGUUAAAUCGAGUAAAAUGAAUAAGCUUACAGCUCUCUCUCUCUCUCUCUCUCUCUCUCUCUCUCUCUCUCUCUCUCUCUCUCUC